rnacentral:rRNA from 1 species
UGAACGCUAGCGGCAGGCCUAACACAUGCAAGUCGAGGGGUAACAGGGAUUAGCUUGCUAAUUUGCUGACGACCGGCGCACGGGUGCGUAACGCGUAUACAAUCUGCCUUAUACUGGGGUAUAGCCUUUAGAAAUGAAGAUUAACCCCCCAUAGUCUCUACUUGUGGCAUCACAUAUAGAGUAAAGGUUACGGUAUAAGAUGAGUAUGCGUUCUAUUAGUUUGUUGGUGAGGUAACGGCUCACCAAGACUACGAUAGAUAGGGGCCCUGAGAGGGGGAUCCCCCACACUGGUACUGAGACACGGACCAGACUCCUACGGGAGGCAGCAGUGAGGAAUAUUGGACAAUGGAGGCAACUCUGAUCCAGCCAUGCCGCGUGCAGGAAGACUGCCCUAUGGGUUGUAAACUGCUUUUAUAUAGGAAGAAACCUACUUACGUGUAAGUAGCUGACGGUACUAUAAGAAUAAGGAUCGG